UACGUAGGGUGCGAGCGUUAAUCGGAAUUACUGGGCGUAAAGCGUGCGCAGGCGGUUGCCUAAGCCAGGCGUGAAAUCCCCGGGCUUAACCUGGGAAUUGCGCUUGGGACUGGGCGGCUAGAGUACGGCAGAGGGAGGUGGAAUUCCACGUGUAGCAGUGAAAUGCGUAGAGAUGUGGAGGAACACCGAUGGCGAAGGCAGCCUCCUGGGCCAGUACUGACGCUCAUGCACGAAAGCGUGGGGAGCAAAC
rnacentral:rRNA from 1 species